rnacentral:rRNA from 1 species
UACGUAGGGGGCAAGCGUUGUCCGGAAUCAUUGGGCGUAAAGAGCGUGUAGGCGGCCCGGUAAGUCCGCUGUAAAAGUCAAAGGCUCAACCUUUGAAUGUCAGUGGAUACUGCCGGGCUAGAGUCCGGAAGAGGCGAGUGGAACUCCUGGUGUAGCGGUGAAAUGCGCAGAUAUCAGGAAGAACACCAAUGGCGAAAGCAGCUCUCUGGGACGGUACUGACGCUGAGACGCGAAAGCGUGGGGAGCGAACAGG